CGCAUCUGUGCAUGCAGCAUAUCAAUAAGCGGAGGAAAAGAAACUAACAAGGAUUCCCCUAGUAACGGCGAGUGAAGCGGGAAGAGCUCAAAUUUGAAAUCUUAAAGGGUUUCCCUUUACGAAUUGUAGUUUAAAGAAGUGUUUUCUGUUGAGGUUUUGGUAAAAGUUCUUUGGAAUAGGACAUCAUAGAGGGUGAGAAUCCCGUAUUUGACCUUUACUUUCAACUUUGUGAUACACUUUCAAAGAGUCGGAUUGUUUGGGAAUGCAGUCCAAAAUGGGUGGUAAAUUUCAUCUAAAGCUAAAUAUUGGCGAGAGACCGAUAGCGAACAAGUACCGUGAGGGAAAGAUGAAAAGAACUUUGAAAAGAGAGUUAAACAGUACGUGAAAUUGUCAAAAGGGAAGCGUUUGACACCAGUGUUGUUUUUCUGAAAAUCAAUUAAAGAACUGUUUAUGCUAAGUUGUUUAGACUUUAUCAGCUAUCUGCUUUAGUUUUGAGCUCUUCUUUAAUGCACUUUUCAGUUAACAAGUCAACAUCAAUUUCUUUUGCUGUAAAAAAGCUUGAGGAAGGUGGCUUGAGAUUCGUCUUAAGUGUUUAUAGCCUCUUGCCUAUGCAGUCGGAGAGAUUGAGGUCUGCAGCGUAGAUCCUUCGGGGCUAAAUGCAUUUGUGCUAAGUUAUAGCAUUUUAUAGACAACUUGUUGACUAUGAUUUGUCUUGUAGCUUACUCGCUUAUGUUAUUUUACCUACGCUUAGGAUGUUGAGUCGUAGAGCACGCAG
rnacentral:rRNA from 1 species